rnacentral:misc_RNA from 1 species
GUAGAUCGCGAACGAUGCAUUGGCGAUGCUCUGCGUCAGCAGCGACAGCAUGAUCAGGCCCGGCACGAUGAAGGUGCCAUAGCUGACGCCGUCGAUCUCGGUGAUGCGCGAGCCGAUCGCCGAGCCGGCCGAACACGACGAAGUACAGCGACGUCGAGAUCACUGGCGAGACAACGCUUUGCAACAGCGUGCGGAAGGUGCGCGCCAUCUCGAAUUUAUAGAUCGCGCGAAUGGCA